rnacentral:rRNA from 1 species
CCUACGGGUGGCAGCAGUGAGGAAUAUUGGUCAAUGGGCGCGAGCCUGAACCAGCCAAGUCGCGUGAGGGAAGACGGUCCUAUGGAUUGUAAACCUCUUUUGUCGGGGAGCAAAAGACGCCACGCGUGGCGUUCCGAGCGUACCCUACGAACAAGCAUCGGCUAACUCCGUGCCAGCAGCCGCGGUAAUCCUGAGGAUGCGAGCGUUAUCCGGAUUGAUUGGGUUUAAAGGGUGCGCAGGCGGAAGAUCAAGUCAGCGGUAAAAUUGAGAGGCUCAACCUCUGCGAGCCGUUGAAACUGGUGGUCUGGAGUGAGUGAGAAGUAUGCGGAAUGCGUGGUGUAGCGGUGAAAUGCAUAGAUAUCACGCAGAACUCCGAGUGCGAAGGCAGCAUACCGGAGCUCAACUGACGCUCAUGCACGAAAGUGUGGGUAUCGAACAGGAUUAGAUACCCGGGUAGUC